CAAAGGACAAAACGCUGGUCAAACUUUCCAUACAGUAAAUGUGUGCAAAUAAACAAAAUGUUGCAUUCAAAACUUGUACUCAAGGAACAUGUGUGCAUUAAUUCCAGACAUGAGGCCAUUAGUACAGACACAAUUGAUUUUUCACAGUUAUUAGAGGAGAUAAGGAAAUAGUAUUAUGUUUUUCAAAUGUGAGAGACCCUGUGAUUCAAAGACAUGUGCAAGUAAAUUGGUGUAGAAUAUGUAAAACUGUUCACAUUGAAAGUAAUUUGUGUAUC